rfam:Tupaia chinensis contig44071, whole genome shotgun sequence.
GUGCUCAAUUCAGUAGCAUAUGUUCUAAAUUUGGAAUGAUACAGAGAAGAUUAGCAUGGCCCCUGCUCAGAUGACACGCACAUUCAUGAAAUGUUCCACAUUUUU